UAUCUCUGUAGAGUCUGCAUAUCAAUAAGCGGAGGAAAAGAAACUAACAAGGAUUCCCUUAGUAACGGCGAGUGAAGCGGGAAGAGCUCAAAUUUGAAAUCUUCAAGGUUCUACCUUGACGAAUUGUAGUUUAAAGAAGUGUUUUCUGUUAGAUGAGUAGCAAAAGUUCCUUGGAAUGGGACAUCAUAGAGGGUGAGAAUCCCGUAUUUGGUUAUUCAUUCUAGCUUUGUGAUACACUUUCAAAGAGUCGGAUUGUUUGGGAAUGCAGUCCAAAAUGGGUGGUAAAUUUCAUCUAAAGCUAAAUAUUGGCGAGAGACCGAUAGCGAACAAGUACCGUGAGGGAAAGAUGAAAAGAACUUUGAAAAGAGAGUUAAACAGUACGUGAAAUUGUCAAAAGGGAAGCGUUUGACACCAGUGUUGUUUUUCCGAAAAUCAAUUACGAAUGGCUUGAUUUUGUGUUGUAUUGACCUUAUCAGCUUUCUGCACUUUUUUCGAGUCUUUCUUAAUGCACUUUUCGGUUAACAAGUCAACAUCAAUUUCUUUUGUUGUAAAAGAGUAUUCGGAAGGUGGCUUUCUUUUCGGAGAAAGUGUUUAUAGCCCUAUACUUCUACAAUCGGAGAGAUUGAGGUCUGCAGCGUAGAUCCUUCGGGGUUAGAUACAUUUGUGCUAAGUUGUAGCUUUUCAUAGACAACUUGUUGACUAUGUUUAGUCAUGCGGCUUACUCGCUUAUGCUAUUUUACCUACGCUUAGGAUGUUGACUGAUAUGUAGUCGU
rnacentral:rRNA from 1 species